GGUUGACCUCGGAUCAGGUAGGGAUACCCGCUGAACUUAAGCAUAUCAAUAAGCGGAGGAAAAGAAACCAACAGGGAUUGCCUCAGUAACGGCGAGUGAAGCGGCAACAGCUCAAAUUUGAAACCUGGCUCCUUGGGGGGUCCGAGUUGUAAUUUGUAGAGGAUGCUUCGGGCAAGGCUGCGGUCUAAUUUGCUUGGAACAGCGAGUCACAGAGGGUGAGAGUCCCGUCUAGGACCGUGCGCCGCGUCCAGGUGAAGCUCCUUCGACGAGUCGAGUUGUUUGGGAAUGCAGCUCUAAAUGGGUGGUAAAUUUCAUCUAAAGCUAAAUAUUGGCCAGAGACCGAUAGCGCACAAGUAGAGUGAUCGAAAGAUGAAAAGCACUUUGAAAAGAGAGUUAAACAGUAUGUGAAAUUGUUGAAAGGGAAGCGCUUGCAACCAGACUUGCGUGUGACGGUUCCCCCCACCUUCUGGUGGGGCUACUCCGUCAUCUCCAGGCCAGCAUCGGUUCGGGUGGUCGGUCAAAGACUCCGGGAAUGUAUCUACCUCCGGGUCGACUUAUAGCCCGGGGUGCAAUGCGGCCCACCCGGACCGAGGAACGCGCUUCGGCCCGGAUGCUGGCGUAAUGGUUGUAAGCGGCCCGUCUUGAAACACGGACCAAGGAGUCUAACAUCUAUGCGAGUGUUUGGGUGUUAAACCCCUACGCGGAAUGAAAGUGAACGGAGGUAAGAACCCCGUCCGGGGCGCAUUAUCGACCGAUCCUGAUGUUUUCGGAUGGAUUUGAGUAAGAGCAUAGCUGUUGGGACCCGAAAGAUGGUGAACUAUGCCUGAAUAGGGUGAAGCCAGAGGAAACUCUGGUGGAGGCUCGCAGCGGUUCUGACGUGCAAAUCGAUCGUCAAAUUUGGGCAUAGGGGCGAAAGACCAAUCGAACCAUCUGGUAGCUGGUUCCUGUCGAAGUUUCCCUCAGGAUAGCAGUAACGUUUUCAGUUUUAUGAGGUAAAGCGAAUGAUUAGAGGCCUUGGGGUUGAAACAACCUUAACCUAUUCUCAAACUUUAAAUAUGUAAGAAGUCCUUGUUGCUUAAUUGAACGUGGACAUUUGAAUGUAUCGUUACUAGUGGGCCAUUUUUGGUAAGCAGAACUGGCGAUGCGGGAUGAACCGAACGUGAGGUUAAGGUGCCGGAAUGUACGCUCAUCAGACACCACAAAAGGUGUCAAUGCAUCCAGACAGCCGGACGGUGGCCAUGGAAGUCGGAAUCCGCUUAGGAGUGUGUAACAACUCACCGGCCGAAUGCAUUGGCCCUGAAAAUGGAUGGCGCUUAAGCGUGCUACCUAUACCUCGCCGUUGGGGUUGAAAUGAUGCCCCAACGAGUAGGCAGGCGUGGGGGUUUGUGAC
rnacentral:rRNA from 1 species